UGCUUCCAGCCAUAGUGACUGGUUCAGGGAUGAAUACACCAUCAAAGUAGAGGAAUCUACUUUGAAAGUAGAGCAAUCUACCCCUUGAAAGAGCUUUUUCUUGAAAGAUUGGGAAGCUGACUCUUCCCCUGGCCUGGAAGUUGUGUUGUUGUGUGCUGAGAACACUAUUAAGCUCUCCCAGACCACAUCAAAAUGUGUUCUGCAGGAAGUACUUGAACUGCAUCCACAUUUAAUCCCCCAAAUUGCUCCUUUGUUGA
rnacentral:lncRNA from 1 species